GAGAAUGGAGAUGAGGGUGGGUGCUAUGUCUCCACAGACAGAACUUGACCUCACAGAGGUACUUUGGCCUUAAAAAGAGGCUCUGACCCUGCUGAAAGACCUUAACCUCAUAGAGACUUUGACACUACAAAGAGACCUUGACACCCAGAAUGGGAUCUUAACCCUCUGGAAAUUCUUUGACCUAGAGAGAGAAUCCUGACCUCACAAAGAAGACCUGACCCAACAGAAAAGAUCUUCAACCCCACAGAGAAGGAUCUUUGCUGCUCCCAGAGUCCUAGGAUGUCUUGGUCUAGCCCACCUGGAACUGUGGUACUCUGGGAAAGGCAGGUACAAGGAUCCAGAGGAGUCUAACAAAUGGUGUUUUCUCUGAAGAAUAGCAGCAGUUCCUUCGCCUCAUUAUUGUGGGAUGUGGAAAUGUCCCUAGAGACCUCUUGUUAAGAUCAGAGGCAUUCCCUGAUCACUAUUCUAAAAGGUAGCCAGGUUCCUUCUGAAACUCAUCCUUGGACUUCUACAUCCACCAAAUCAUCAUCCUAAUGCAAAGCUCUGACACUAUCAUACUCCAGCUCAACAAAAUAUCGGGGAUCACUUUUGCCUACAAGAGUCUGGAUAACCACUUGUCAGGAGCGCUAAGGAGAGGAUUCCUGGGGAGAAGGACAGAAUUGGUGGAUGUGGUUGCUGUUACCAUCAGUGAUGUUUGAAAUAUCAGAAAAUGGGAGAGGUGUCAGAAUAUGAGAAAGAAAAAUGUCCCUUUAAAAAAAAAAGGAAGAGGAAGAUUCUUCAACUACAUGCCAUUCCAGGAAGAAGGGAAGAAAGGAGGGAGAGACAAUAUGGAUUACAUAACUUCAGAAAACUUAUGUGGAAAAUUUGUUAUGAAAAUAAAAAAAAUUUAAAGUAAGAUUUAUUUUCAUAUGAACU